rnacentral:rRNA from 1 species
AGUGAACGCUGGCGGUAUGCCUAACACAUGCAAGUCGAACGGCAGCACAGUAAGAGCUUGCUCUUACGGGUGGCGAGUGGCGGACGGGUGAGGAAUACAUCGGAAUCUACUUUUUCGUGGGGGAUAACGUAGGGAAACUUACGCUAAUACCGCAUACGACCUACGGGUGAAAGCAGGGGAUCUUCGGACCUUUCGCGAUUGAAUGAGCCGAUGUCGGAUUAGCUAGUUGGCGGGGUAAAGGCCCACCAAGGCGACGAUCCGUAGCUGGUCUGAGAGGAUGAUCAGCCACACUGGAACUGAGACACGGUCCAGACUCCUACGGGAGGCAGCAGUGGGGAAUAUUGGACAAAGGGCGCAAGCCUGAUCCAGCCAUACCGCGUGGGUGAAGAAGGCCUUCGGGUUGUAAAGCCCUUUUGUUGGGAAAGAAAAGCAGCAGGUUAAUCCCCCGCUGUUCUGACGGUACCCAAAGAAUAAGCACCGGCUAACUUCGUG